CCAUUGGUGGGUUAUCUUUGUCGAUAUCCAUUUCAGGAAAUUUAGAGUGUCUAGCUCACUGAAGUUGACUGAAUCUCAGAUGGCUUCUACUGAAAGAAUUUGCAAAUCAUUCAAGAAACUUUACAGUCAUCUUCAUGGUGUCGAGGGAUUAAAUAUCUCAUCGUUCAAGAUAAAAGUUUGCGGCACCCCUUCUUGUUCAGAGAAAAGCGCGAGGCGUGACUGUGGUAUCUAUGCAAUGAGGUUCAUUUGGAUAUUCAAGGCUAAUUUUUACCCAAAUGUAUUCAAGG